CAAUAGCGUAUAUUAACGUUGUUGCAGUUAAAAAGCUCGUAGUUGGAUUUCGGAUGGGACUUGCCGGUCCGUCGUUUCGAUGUGCACUGGCCAGUCCUAUCUUGUUGUCGGGGACUAGCUCCUGGGCUUCACUGUCCGGGACUAGGAGCUGACGAGGUUACUUUGAGUAAAUUAGAGUGUUCAAAGCAAGCCUACGCUCUGAAUACAUUAGCAUGGAAUAACGCGAUAGGACUCUGGCUUAUCUUGUUGGUCUGUGAGACCAGAGUAAUGAUUAAGAGGGACAGUCGGGGGCAUUCGUGUUUCAUUGUCAGAGGUGAAAUUCUUGGAUUUAUGAAAGACGAACUUCUGCGAAAGCAUUUGUCAAGGAUGUUUUCAUUAA
rnacentral:rRNA from 1 species